rnacentral:rRNA from 1 species
UUGUUGGUAAGGUAAAAGCUUACCAAGGCUUCGAUCAGUAGCUGGUCUGAGAGGACGACCAGCCACACUGGGACUGAGACACGGCCCAGACUCCUACGGGAGGCAGCAGUGGGGAAUUUUGGACAAUGGGGGCAACCCUGAUCCAGCCAUGCCGCGUGAGUGAAGAAGGCCUUCGGGUUGUAAAGCUCUUUCAGCCGGAACGAAACGGUUACGGAUAACACCCGUGACUACUGACGGUACCGGAAGAAGAAGCACCGGCUAACUACGUGCCAGCAGCCGCGGUAAUACGUAGGGUGCGAGCGUUAAUCGGAAUUACUGGGCGUAAAGCGUGCGCAGGUGGUUUUGUAAGUCAGAUGUGAAAGCCCCGGGCUCAACCUGGGAACUGCGUUUGAAACAACAAGACUAGAGUGUGGCAGAGGGGGGUGGAAUUCCGCGUGUAGCAGUGAAAUGCGUAGAGAUGUGGAGGAACACCGAUGGCGAAGGCAGCCCCCUGGGUCAACACUGACGCUCAGGCACGAAAGCAUGGGGAGCAAACAGGAUUAGAUACCCUGGUAGUCCAUGCCCUAAACGAUGUCAACUAGUUGUCGGGCCUUUACGGGCUUGGUAACGUAGCUAACGCGUGAAGUUGACCGCCUGGGGAGUACGAUCGCAAGAUUAAAACUCAAAUGAAUUGACGGGGACCCGCACAAGCGGUGGAUUAUGUGGAUUAAUUCGAUGCAACGCGAAAAACCUUACCUACCCUUGACAUGUAUCGAAGCCCGCAGAAAAGCGGGGGUGCCCGAAAGGGAACGAUAACACAGGUGCUGCAUGGCUGUCGUCAGCUCGUGUCGUGAGAUGUUGGGUUAAGUCCCGCAACGAGCGCAACCCUUGUCAUUAAUUGCCAUCAUUUAGUUGGGCACUUUAAUGAGACUGCCGG